ACUUCCUUAUGCUUCUACAUAUCACCUCCUUGCUGAGAGGAGUUUCUAUGUCCCUAUGCGUGAUGUCAAGCAAUUUUCAUCAAGGCCUAAAUGGACGCAUGUCUUGGCUUAUCAUCUUUCCAAGAUGGGUGUCCCACAAGGUGCGCAGCCAGCUCUCAUUGUAAGAAUACUUGACUACACUGAAGAGGCCGACAACCACAGCUUUGAGUUGCCAAUUCUUGUGCAUAUUGUGGAUGCCACUUAUCACUAUCUGAAGUCGGACCACAACAACGACAUCCUUGAUAGGGUUAUGAGGCAAUCCUCGGAAGCAUACAGGGCCAUGCUUAUUCCUGCAGCUCAAUCAUCCAUUCAGGGCUUGGAGAAUGUGAGGCUUGAUGAUCCUACUUUGGCCCCGUUGUCCUCAUGUAUUAUUUGUAUGGAGGGCCUCCUCCUUGAUCAUCAUGAUGAUCAUCACUCUGAUCAUAUUAAUGCCGUCCCUGCUUCUCAAGAUGAUCAUCAUGAUCAAGAUCAAGGUCAAGGGGUUGAUUGUCGCCAUCCACCAAGGACGAUCAAACGCUUGCCCUGCUUACACCAAUUUCACGAAGAUUGCAUCGUCCCGUGGCUGCAGAUCAAUCACUUGUGUCCCCUGUGCCGAUACCCGCUGGAAGUGCGCGAGUCAUCAAAACCCAAACGAAGGAGAUUAUCAUGAAAUAAUGAAAGAAGACCUGCAGCCAUGAUGCUCAGCUGGAACAAUAUAUGGCAGAAGCUGGCUUGAUUAGUAUGUUCUCUUCGGGAUCAUAAAAUCAACAUGCAUGUGGGAACAUUGUACCUGGUAUUCCUCUUCUAGAGGCUUGGCAAGCUGUGUGCACAGGAGCAUCAUAUACUCAUAUCAUCAAAGUCUUUAGAAGAAAGAAGAGUGGAGUUUGGAGUUGAGACUGAAGGUUAUUAGUCUUACACCUCCCAAAUAUUAAGGCUAUUGAGGUGUGGUCUGUGGAAUGGAUCCAGGCUAUCAAGUUCAUGGAUGGAAACUGCACAGGUUGAAUGUACCUUGUUCAAUGAAGAGAUUUUAGCGAUUAAAUUUAUGACUGAAUCUAUCGAGUUAAUAUGCGAGCACAUAUCGAUCACCAAUAAGGUUUCUACUAUUAAUCACUAAUUUCAAAGAUUAUCUUUUUGCUGAGGAUGACAACUCAGAUUUCAAGAGAAUUGCAAGAGUAACACUCCAUUAUGUUGAAGAAAUUCACCACUAUGAUACAAGUUUUUUCUUCUAUUAUUGUGCAAUUUAUUCGCAAAUUUAGUUAUGUAGGAAGGAAGGCAGCAUGCUUGUGCAAUUUAUUCACAAAUUUAUUUA